GAUGGUGGCGGCGACGUUGGGGCGGAGAAGGCGCGUCCCGGUCAGAGAACGGCAGUCCGUCCUCCUUCUGCGUCCCCUUUACUGGUCCGUCUGCAAGGUAGAUCGAUGUGCCGGAGUGGCGUCAUCGUCUAGGAAGCAGAGAGGACCAUUGGGGGUGAGCAGGUAGCCGGGAUCUUGGUCCACCUCGCCGGAGCAGUGGUAUUUGCUGCCUGUCCAUGCCUCUCCAGCCCUAGGUCAUCAACAUACAAAUAUGAGAGUAGUGCCAUCAAGCAUCACGCCAGCUGUGGAGAACGAGGGUGAGCUCAACCCCAUGUUUUCAUCCCGUGCAUGAAUAAGGAGGAGCGGCAGCAGACGGCCACCGCCUCACCCUCAUCGUGUCGGCACACCCAGGCAAUCAGGCCAAGCAGAAGUCCGUGGACGCGACGAGUACGGAGAGCAGGUCCUCGAUGAGCACCUACAGUCAUCUGCUCCUACAUCCUUAAGCUAUGUGCUGAUUCUCUGCUCAGAUCUGAUUUUUGUGUCUAAGUUUUAUAUUUUCUCAAAGCCAUUGAUUAGAGCUUGACAGCUAGCAGGGAGACUGAGGUACUGAAUAUUUCUCCUAUCUAUACCUACUCCAUGUGACUUACAUAAUGCUAAUUUGCUCCUAAACGUAGCUUAUAGGACAAAGCACAAUACGUACGUAAGGCCCAACAUUCUGUCUUGAGGAGGAAAGUUGAGCAACUUGCAGCUCAGAUGAGCACCAUGUGUACGUCAUGUUUUUCCCUGAUGGAGGUGACGUUGGUGUUCUGCACUUUUUUAGUUCAGGAAUUUAUGUUUGUAUGCCACAAAACUCAGGCUUAUUCAUUUUUUUUGGUUCAUUGGAUAUUUGCAUCUACAAUCUUAUACUGUACAUGGUAUUUGCCCAUGGAAAUUUCUUUGUUCUCUUGACAUGUUGAUGGCUUGAUGCCUAGAAAUGAUAUCGAGGAACCAUUUUAUUUGUUGCAUAAUAACAGUGAUUUAGAGGGGAAAAAAUCCCAAUUAUGCUUUCUUCCCUAAGUCCUAAAUCCUCUGUUCUAACUUAAUUUGUUGCAAAUAAAUGAAAUAAGAUUUUACUUUACACGUUCUAAUUGUUUCCGUCUCAACGGCCUUCUAAUUUUUUAAUCUACAGUCUUACACUACAUAAUAGAACACAAAAAUAUUAGUUAUAUCUUUAGAAUAUGUGUGGCCUUCCACUGUAAUUGUAAUUAUUUUGUAAUGUUAAUGGCUUCCACCGGCUACUAUUGCUACUUCAGUGACCGUAUCCUAGGUUACCCUAUGUUUAAGCAUUCACAGCUCAAAUCAAUGUUUUUGUCAUUCAUGCCAUUGAUAUAUAGUUUUUGCACUAAAGAGGCACCCAUUUUUUCGCGGGGACCUUACAAUUUGAUUAAUUUCCCUCAUUAUUUGAGACGAGGUGACUAUGGGAAUACAAGCACAAAAACCUGACUUCUUAUUGGUUUGAUCUCUAUUAACUAUUGUAUGAAUCUUUUUAUCGAUUUGUUUCAACUCAUUCUUUGUAAGUUCCCUUAUUUUCCAUCUAUGCUAUAUGCAGCUUUGUGAUUUUCUGAAGUAGAUUAUAUGGAAAACAUAUUCUUAAGAAGUCUCGGUUGCCUCCUUGCGUUGAAUAGAUGUCUCCGGGCCAAGGACUAAAGAAGAAGAAGCACAUAUCACUUGUGGCAUCGAAGAGUCGGUCUUCACACGAAAGCUGCAUGGUCCAUAUUUGAUGCCAUUCUAAAUGUAAACUUGUGGUACUUUGCAAGGUAGAGCAUGGCCUGCCUCCGGUUGCAGGUCUCAAGAGCUUUAGAAGGAAACGGGGAAUUCUGAAAAUAAUGACACACCUGAACCUGAUGCUGUCGCACUAGCUGAGCUUGCCGAAAAGAUAAUUCUUCUAAACAGAAAGUGAGAGAGCUCGUGGCUGAAGUAGAUGUGUGGUUCAAGAAGGAUAAGCUUCUCUAUGAAGAUCUGCUUGACAUGUUUCUUUUAACGUUUAUUUCCUCAGUUGCAGAAUCUAGCAGAUUGCUGCAGGUUGUUAAACGAGUUAUUUAUCUUGCUUUCUCUGAAUGAGAUGUGACUACUUGGGUGAAUAUUCUUUGGCUCAAGUGGUGUUCCCUGAGGCUGAGCAGCAAUAGAGUCUAUUGUCUAGAGAGGACAUACAAAGAGUUGUUUAGCCAUCUUAGUGAUAGUAUCAGACCACCAGUAAAAUUCGUGUACUUUUUACUUACAAUUUAAGCACUACAGAAAACGACCUAUCUAAACAGAUUAUGUA